CGCAAGCCUGACGGAGCAAGACCGCGUGCGGGAUGACGGCCUAAUGGUUGUAAACCGCUUUUCUCUGGGAAGAUGAUGACGGUACCAGAGGAAUCAGCCUCGGCUAACUCCGUGCCAGCAGCCGCGGUAAUACGGAGGAGGCAAGCGUUAUCCGGAAUUAUUGGGCGUAAAGCGUCCGUAGGUGGUUAUUCAAGUCUGCUGUCAAAGCGUGGGGCUUAACUCCAUAGAGGCAGUGGAAACUGGAUGACUUGAGUGCGGUAGGGGUCGAGGGAAUUCCCAGUGUAGCGGUGAAAUGCGUAGAGAUUGGGAAGAACACCGGUGGCGAAAGCGCUCUACUGGGUCGCACCUGACCCUCAGGGACGAAAGCUAAGGUAGCG
rnacentral:rRNA from 1 species